CCUACGGGAGGCUGCAGUGAGGAAUAUUGGUCAAUGGGCGCGAGCCUGAACCAGCCAAGUAGCGUGAAGGAUGACUGCCCUACGGGUUGUAAACUUCUUUUAUAAAGGAGUAAAGUGAGGCACGUGUGCCUUUUUGUAUGUACUUUAUGAAUAAGGAUCGGCUAACUCCGUGCCAGCAGCCGCGGUAAUACGGAGGAUCCGAGCGUUAUCCGGAUUUAUUGGGUUUAAAGGGAGCGGAGAUGGGUUGUUAAGUCAGUUGUGAAAGUGUGCGGCUCAACCGUACAAUUGCAAUUGAUACUGGCAGCCUUGAGUACAGUCGAGGUAGGCGGAAUUCGUGGUGUAGCGGUGAAAUGCGUAGAUAUAACGAAGAACGCCGAUGGCGAAGGCAGCUUACUAAACUGCCACUGACAUUGAUGCUCGAAAGUGUGGGGAGCAAACAGGAUUAGAUACCCUUGUAGUC
rnacentral:rRNA from 1 species